CCUACGGGCGACUGCAGUGGGGAAUAUUGGACAAUGGGGGGAACCCUGAUCCAGCCAUGCCGCGUGUGUGAAGAAGGCCCUCGGGUUGUAAAGCACUUUCAGUGAGGAAGAACGCCUGGUGGUUAAUACCCAUCAGGAAAGACAUCACUCACAGAAGAAGCACCGGCUAACUCCGUGCCAGCAGCCGCGGUAAUACGGAGGGUGCGAGCGUUAAUCGGAAUUACUGGGCGUAAAGCGCGCGUAGGUGGCUUGAUAAGCCGGUUGUGAAAGCCCCGGGCUCAACCUGGGAACGGCAUCCGGAACUGUCAAGCUAGAGUGCAGGAGAGGAAGGUAGAAUUCCCGGUGUAGCGGUGAAAUGCGUAGAGAUCGGGAGGAAUACCAGUGGCGAAGGCGGCCUUCUGGACUGACACUGACACUGAGGUGCGAAAGCGUGGGUAGCAAACAGGAUUAGAUACCCUAGUAGUC
rnacentral:rRNA from 1 species